rnacentral:rRNA from 1 species
ACAUGGCUCAGGACGAACGCUGGCGGCGUGCCUAAUACAUGCAAGUCGUACGCUUCUUUUUCCACCGGAGCUUGCUCCACCGGAAAAAGAAGAGUGGCGAACGGGUGAGUAACACGUGGGUAACCUGCCCAUCAGAAGGGGAUAACACUUGGAAACAGGUGCUAAUACCGUAUAACAAUCGAAACCGCAUGGUUUUGAUUUGAAAGGCGCUUUCGGGUGUCGCUGAUGGAUGGACCCGCGGUGCAUUAGCUAGUUGGUGAGGUAACGGCUCACCAAGGCCACGAUGCAUAGCCGACCUGAGAGGGUGAUCGGCCACAUUGGGACUGAGACACGGCCCAAACUCCUACGGGAGGCAGCAGUAGGGAAUCUUCGGCAAUGGACGAAAGUCUGACCGAGCAACGCCGCGUGAGUGAAGAAGGUUUUCGGAUCGUAAAACUCUGUUGUUAGAGAAGAACAAGGAUGAGAGUAACUGUUCUCCCCUGACGG